UGCCAUGAUGACAUAUAUAUAACACUUUCUUUGAGGCACAAGCAAAAGCAUAGCCUUAAAUAUCAAAGUUCAAGUCUAGCACUUGCGGAUGGACUAUGUUUGCUGCUGAAGAAUUGUUACCAGCUUCUGGUUCAUACUUGGUGGGGCUUUGCAUUCCAAAACCCAAAUGGGAAACUCAUAUUUGGCACAUUUGGUGGUUAUGUUGAGUUUCUUGGGGAUGCUACUAAUACCUUCCUCAUGUCAAGAUGAUUCAAAUGAAUAUGAUGCAACUACUGCUGUGUACAUUGUUACUCUCAGACAAGCCCCUACUUCUCAUAAUCAGGAAGAGCUGACCAGAGAAAUUGGUCACCACUUCAGACAUGGUGCUUCUAGGAGAAAUACACUUAAAAGAACAAGACAUCAAAAUGUUUCACAGAUAGAUAGGAGGCCUGGCUCUAACAUUGCCAGAGUUCAUGAUGCGUGGUUGAAAAAGGUGUUUAAAGGGGAGAAAUAUCUGAAGCUCUAUAGCUAUCAUUACUUGAUUAAUGGAUUUGCUGUGCUAAUUACUCAACAGCAGGCAGAUAAGCUCUCAAGGAAUCACUAUUGCAUUUGUUGACACUGGCAUUGAUCCUACACACCCUAGUUUUGCUGAUGAUAAAUCUAAACAUCCAUUCACUUUUCCGCUCGUUUUUCUGGUACCUGUGAAGUUGCUCGGGAUUUUCCAUCUGGUUCUUGCAAUAGGAAACUUGGUGGGGCACGUCAUUUUGUAGAAUCUGCUAUAGCCAGAGGAGUAUUCAAUUCAACUCAGGACUAUGCUUCUCCUUUUGAUGGAGAUGGCCAUGGCACUGAAGUGAUCCAUGUCGCCCAAUGUAGUGUGUCAUUCUUCUAAAGAUGAUGAGUGCUUAGGGGUUACACCUAGGAGGACGGACCAGAGCAUUUGCAGCAGCUGGUGUUGAACUUCCUUCCACCUGUUCUUCUCUUUUAGACGACGAUGGAUUAGGCUCGUCUGCUUGCACUCGCUGUACUGCUUGCGCCUGCUGUACUGCUCGCGCCUGAUGUAGUAGCAGGACCAGAGUCUCUGCAGCAGCACUUGCUAAAUCUCCAUCUCCAGCAGUACUUGUUCCAUCUCCGUCUCCAGCACCACUUGCACAUCCUACUACUUCUUUUCCUUUAGAUGAUGGAUUCGGUUCACGUGCUUGCGCCUCAUUCGUAGCAGGAGCCUCUGCAUCAGCUCUUGCUCCCCUUCCAUCACCUGCAUUUCCUUCCAGGUUUCUUCCUUUUCUAAGGACCACAUAGAUUCUAAAUAACUGGUUGCUAAUCACUGCAGAAAAUACAAGGAUUCAGAUGGAAUAAUGUCCCGAACUAAUCACAUAAAAAGCGUGAAAUACAGCAAUUGGUUACUAGCAUCAUGCUACUUAUGGCAUAAACUGGCUUUGCUAUCUCUAAUUUGGUUCAGAAAGGGUAACCAUCCCAGAUAUUAAACUCUUGGCAGGUUGACCAGUUUUUCCAUUGGCAAAUUAGCUUAAUAAAGAGUAACAUCAUGAACAUGAAAAUUGAGAAACAAGGAAAUACUUGCAAUUGUUUUUCAAAAACCAGGAAACACAUGUGACAGAUUUUAUCACACCAAGUCAAGAAACAAAUUAUAUGUAUACAAAUCAAUUUAAGAAACGACAUAGGACACCAACCUUCCAAUUGUUGUUGGGUGAUUCCAAGCGUAUUCCACCAAUAGCUCUCACUACUAUCCAGAAGCUUCAAUUUUAGGAACUUGACAGCAAGGAAAAUGCAAACUCCUGCAAUGUGUUGCGGCCAGAAUUGCAAGCUAAGCGUUGUCAAAUUCCUAAAAGCCACCAACACAUAUUAGUAAAAUGAAAUCAACAAAGUUAAAUUUGAUUAAAACAUAAUCAUUAUAUUCAUACCCAUCAUUGGCCAAGUCCCAGGCAACUCGAACAACUUUGCUCUUUUCGACAGGCUUAAUGGCUAAGGUUGUCACGUAGGCUGUAAGGAAGUCAUAGGGAUGUAGAAUUUCAAAAGUAAAAUUUAAAGUAGCAAGUACAAGCUUCUCUGCAAGAAUGAUUAACUCUUUCCGUGAGUUAUAUAUUUCCUGCAUCAUAUACGAAUAUUGAACAAAUUUUAAGUAAACGAAAAAGAUAAAGAACUAAAAUAUAAAGAGACAUAGAGAAAGUUAUAGCAUGUUUGAAUCAACUUCUCUAUCUCCAGAUAAUUGAUUCUGUUUUCCAAAUCAAUUGUAAAAGAGUUUCCAAAUAUGCAUUUAAUGGAGUAAAAUAGAGCAGCUAGUUAUUUCAUGCUUCAGCACUUAUUAGAACCUAGCAGCAAUAUAGUUUCAGAAAAAUUCAAGAGAAUUAGGAUGUAUAGCUGCAGGAACACCUGACUCUCGUUUAUGCGCUUCAUAGCUUCUUCAAGAUUGUGCUGGUGAUUGAGACAAUAGGAAAAAACAAUAACAUUCCGUAGGCUAUAAGGUUUGUCUUCAUCCUUACUAGCAAUUAACAUACAAGCAGUUCCAAUAGUCUGCAAAAGAAGUUCACCAAAUGAAGCAUGAGAUUCCAAUUAGUUCAUACUUAAAGUUUACAUCAUCUUUACAUUGCCAUUCUUGAAUAUAAAAUUGGACCAAAACUACAGUAUCUGUAUAUUAACUAACAUCAUCUUCCAUGUGUAUGCCCAUUGACCUCUCUAAUGCAGAAAACUAAUGAUACUUAGACAAUACUCAAACACCUAAUAUCUCUCCUUUUAUCAUACUCACUCGUCAUAUAAUACAUUCAUUACUUCUCUCUUCUCUUCAUUUUUUCACUGUGGGUGAGUGUUAUGCACUAUGCGGAUGUGUACCGAUUGUUUUCCAAUGCGAAAAUGUAUAAUUAAUUAAAACCUUGAAUAUCAAUAAUAAAGUGCAAGAACUCACCCUUGCGUUGAUAUUUGCAAACGAUUGUAGCAUAAAGAACUUGUUAAAGUAGUAUGAGGCCCUCGUUAUAACUUUUCGAGACCUGCAAUGAGGCAAAGUUGAAACAGAAUUUACAUCUCCAGUU